ACCUAGUCCAUCAGGGCUGGGAAAGCAUGGCAGAGCAGAACAGCUCACAGCAUGGUGGCAGGAGUCUGUGACACAGGAGCCAUUCACUCCAUGGCCAGCCAGAGAGCAGAGAAAGGAGUCUAGGCAUCAGAGGACAGCAACCCCAAACAACAUCUGAUCUGGAGAUUUGAGGAGAGCAAAGCAAAGCAAAAAAAUAAAAAAAUAAAAUAAACAUAUUUGAAAAUGGUCACAA